GUGGUUUAAUUUGAUGCAAAUUAAAGAAUCUUACUAGGGCUUGAUAUGCCGUGAAUCCUCUUGAAAGAGAGGGGCGCCUUCGGGAACGCGGGCACAAGUGGUGCAUAGUUGUCAUCAGCUCGUGCUGUAAGGUGUUGGGUUAAGCCCAACAACGAGCGCAACCCUCGUACUUAGUUGCCAUCGUUUAGUUUGGAACCCUGAACAUACUGUUUGUGAUAAGCCGGAGGAAGGUGAGGCCGACGUAAAGCCAUCACGCCCCUUAUGCCCUGGGCGACGUGC
rnacentral:ncRNA from 1 species